UACGUAGGGGGCAAGCGUUGACCGGAUUUAUUGGGCGUAAAGAGCGUGUAGGCGGCCAAACAGGUCCACUGUGAAAACUCGAGGCUCAACCUCGAGAGGUCGGUGGAAACCGUCUGGCUAGAGUCCGGAAGAGGAGAGUGGAAUUCCCGGUGUAGCGGUGAAAUGCGCAGAUAUCGGGAAGAACACCCGUGGCGAAGGCGGCUCUCUGGGACGGUACUGACGCUGAGACGCGAAAGCGUGGGGAGCGAACAGG
rnacentral:rRNA from 1 species